rnacentral:rRNA from 1 species
GAUGAACGCUGGCGGCGUGCCUAAUACAUGCAAGUCGAGCGAACGGACGAGAAGCUUGCUUCUCUGAUGUUAGCGGCGGACGGGUGAGUAACACGUGGAUAACCUACCUAUAAGACUGGGAUAACUUCGGGAAACCGGAGCUAAUACCGGAUGAUAUUUUGAACCGCAUGGUUCAAAAGUGAAAGACGGUCUUGCUGUCACUUAUAGAUGGAUCCGCGCUGCAUUAGCUAGUUGGUAAGGUAACGGCUUACCAAGGCAACGAUGCAUAGCCGACCUGAGAGGGUGAUCGGCCACACUGGAACUGAGACACGGUCCAAACUCCCACGGGAGGCAGCAGUAGGGAAUCUUCCGCAAUGGGCGAAAGCCUGACGGAGCAACGCCGCGUGAGUGAUGAAGGUCUUCGGAUCGUAAAACUCUGUUAUUAGGGAAGAACAUAUGUGUAAGUAACUGUGCACAUCUUGACGGUACCUAAUCAGAAAGCCACGGCUAACUACGUG